UACGGAGGGUGCAAGCGUUAUCCGGAUUCACUGGGUUUAAAGGGUGCGUAGGUGGGUUGGUAAGUCAGUGGUGAAAUCUCCGAGCUUAACUCGGAAACUGCCAUUGAUACUAUCAAUCUUGAAUCACCUGGAGGUAAGCGGAAUAUGUCAUGUAGCGGUGAAAUGCUUAGAUAUGACAUAGAACACCAAUUGCGAAGGCGGCUGGCUACACGAAUAUUGACACUGAUGCACGAAAGCGUGGGGAUCAAACAGG
rnacentral:rRNA from 1 species